GGGACGUAACAAAGCGACCCAGGAAUGCUUGGGCGUGCCUCCACCCACGCCGGCGUCGGCGGGCGUAUUUCGCCUCACAGUAGGUCGCCGCGACCCGUUGCUUUUGGGGACGUCGAAGGCCCGGACGGAUUGGUACCCUACCGGCUGGGGAUGCGGCUUCGGCUUCUCCUCUUGUCCGGUGGGCGAAACCGCCGGUGUCCUGGCUGCCCUGCGACGGUCGUAGAGACGAGCCCUCCCCUUCGGGGGGGCGGCUCUCGCGGCGUGCAAAAGGUCGGUGAUCCACCCGACCCGUCUUGAAACACGGACCAAGGAGUCUAACAUGUGUGCGAGUCAGUGGGCGCACUAAACCCAGAGGCGUAAUGAAAGUGACACGGGUUCGGCUGUCGCCUCGUGUGGCAGCCGGACUCAGGGCCGAUCCCUCACCGGUUGCCCUCGCCUCUCUCCCGCGUCUCGGUAAGCCGGGUGAGCUAUUUUCCCCGGCCGCUGCUGCGGGGCGCGGGGGGAGGCGGGGUGCGAUGGUGUCCGUAAAAAAGAGCCUGCUGUUGCAGGGGGGCGCAGGCCCGGGACUUGCCAGGACGCCGCGAGACUGUCACUUUGCUGUGAGGCUCUCGGGCCGAUCAGCGGGUCAUGCGUGCAGUCGGCAAGUACCAUGAGCAGACAUGUUGGGACCCGAAAGAUGGUGAACUAUGCCUGGCCAGGAUGAAGCCAGAGGAAACUCUGGUGGAGGUCCGUAGCGAUUCUGACGUGCAAAUCGAUCGUCGGAGCUGGGUAUAGGGGCGA
rnacentral:rRNA from 1 species